rnacentral:tRNA from 1 species
GCUUUUAAAGGAUAACAGCUCAUCCGUUGGUCUUAGGAACCAAAAACUCUUGGUGCAAAUCCAAGUGAAAGC